CGCGAAUUCGCCCUUCGGGGUGCAGCAGGCGCGAAAACUUUACAAUGCUGGCAACAGCGAUAAGGGGACCUUGAGUGCCAGGAUACAAUCCUGGCUGUCGUGAUGCCUAAAAAGCAUUAUAUAGCAAGGGCCGGGCAAGACCGGUGCCAGCCGCCGCGGUAACACCGGCGGCUCGAGUGGUAACCGUUAUUAUUGGGUCUAAAGGGUCUGUAGCCGGCUUGGUUAGUCUCUUGGGAAAUCCGGCAGCUUAACUGUCGGGCUUUCAGGAGAUACUGCCAGGCUCGAGACCGGGAGAGGUGAGAGGUACUUCAUGGGUAGGGGUGAAAUCUUGUAAUCCUUGAAGGAUCACCAGUGGCGAAGGCGUCUCACCAGAACGGAUCUGACGGCAAGGGACGAAAGCUAGGGGCACGAACCGGAUUAGAUACCCGGGUAGUCCUAGCCGUAAACGAUACUCGCUAGGUGUCGGCCACGGUGCGACCGUGGUCGGUGCCGUAGGGAAGCCGUGAAGCGAGCCACCUGGGAAGUACGGCCGCAAGGCUGAAACUUAAAGGAAUUGGCGGGGGAGCAC
rnacentral:rRNA from 1 species